UACAGAGGGGGCAAGCGUUAUCCGGAAUUAUUGGGCGUAAAGAGCUCGUAGGCGGUUUGUCGCGUCUGCUGUGAAAACUGGAGGCUCAACCUCCAGCCUGCAGUGGGUACGGGCAGACUAGAGUGCGGUAGGGGAGAUUGGAAUUCCUGGUGUAGCGGUGGAAUGCGCAGAUAUCAGGAGGAACACCGGUGGCGAAGGCGGGUCUCUGGGCAGUAACUGACGCUGAGGAGCGAAAGCGUGGGGAGCGAACAGG
rnacentral:rRNA from 1 species